rnacentral:rRNA from 1 species
UCCAGACUCCUACGGGAGGCAGCAGUGGGGAAUAUUGGGCAAUGGGCGCAAGCCUGACCCAGCAACGCCGCGUGAAGGAAGAAGGCUUUCGGGUUGUAAACUUCUUUUAUCAGGGACGAAACAAAUGACGGUACCUGAUGAAUAAGCCACGGCUAACUACGUGCCAGCAGCCGCGGUAAUACGUAGGUGGCAAGCGUUAUCCGGAUUUACUGGGUGUAAAGGGCGUGUAGGCGGGACUGCAAGUCAGAUGUGAAACCCAUGGGCUCAACCCAUGGCCUGCAUUUGAAACUGUAGUUCUUGAGUGAUGGAGAGGCAGGCGGAAUUCCGUGUGUAGCGGUGAAAUGCGUAGAUAUACGGAGGAACACCAGUGGCGAAGGCGGUCUGCUGGACAGCAACUGACGGUGAGGCGCGAAAGCGUGGGGAGCAAACAGGAUUAGAUACCCGUGUA